CUUGCCCAACGUUUGUCGCCCUGGCUAUUAUAGUGCGAUUAUUUUUUUAAUUGUAUAUACUCUCCUUUUUCCUGCUAUCUGACUGCGGUUCUUCUCAGAGAAACGAGUUCCUGUCCACAAACUGGAAAAAAAAAAGGGAAAAGAUGAAAAUGACUAAAAACAGGAGGAGAGCUUGAGAGUAUGCACCUCAGUCUCACGAAAAUUUCAAUCUAGCUCCCACAUAUGAAGGUUUUUCGAGAACGUGGGGUAUAUGAACUUUAUUUCUUGAAAACUUAAAAACAACCAAUUUAAAUAGUGCCACAGAAGUUAUCCACAGUGCUCGAUUUUAAUAGGGAGACAAAUAUAGCAUACGUAGAUUCCCAUAGAGGAAAAAAUAACAGAGAACUCUAAGUGGAAAAUACCCUGUGUUGAAAAGGAAAGGAAAGUGCCAGGAUAAAGGAAGAAAAGGUACGAAUAAAAUCAACUUAUAUGCGGUAAGCCAGUCCUUUAUCUAAAAAAAAUGCAAUCAAGCCAUGACGCGAAGGCAAGAAUUGAAAUCAAAAGGCAUCACGCGUAUUUUCGAUUGAUUGAGAGAAAAUCCGAAUCAGCAUAUGUAUGCCAAGAACAGAACUGAAAAGACAAAUUCGGUACGACGAGAUCCAAGAUCUUUUCUUUAUUUUUUUUGGACCAAAAGGCACUUUGGCCCUGAUUUUUAUUGAAAUCAAGAGAUCCCAUUCGCUGCCUUACAAAGUUCUCGGACCUGGGAAUCACAAGUGAACCGUCCAGAAAAUACACCUCUGAAUGCUACCUGAUACUCUAAAACUCUACCAGAAGAUUCAGUACAACAUCUCGAAAACAUAGCUGUUCCCUCUUGAGCUCAGACGCUGAUGAGCUAGUAAACGGGGCAGAGAACAUGGAGGACUACUAGAACGCCUACCAGUCUUGGCUACUACAUGUUGCAGGAGGGCCGUGGGGUGAAGAGAUCAGUUCUUACUAUUUGUUGAGGCACCGGACGUCGUCGGCGCCGCCGAGGUAUCAGUCGACGACGAAACCCAUCACAACUCCGGCGAGCAGAGCCGCCGUCGUUGCUGCUGCGAGCGUCGCCUUCGCGAGACGGUCCAGCUCGGCUG
rnacentral:lncRNA from 1 species